UGAGCGGAAUUCGUGAGACCGUGGAAAUGGACUCUGAUGAUCCAAGUUACAAACUUUUAGUCAUAGGUUGACUAAUCACACUACGGAUGAUACUGUAAUAGGGGCAGGAUGGACAUGGAGCUGCAGCCCUUAGCUCAAGACCAUUAGUGAUGUCAGAAGUCCAGCUUCACCAACAGUCAGCCUGUCAGGAGUGUAGUAAAAGAUAUAGUGCAACCUUUGUCCAUGGCCCUCCAGACUCUCUGGUGUUGGGCUGG
rnacentral:sRNA from 1 species